rnacentral:ncRNA from 1 species
GUCCUAAGGUUCAUUCGCGAGCCUUAGUAAAACCGAACUAUAUGCGGGAAACUCCUCGUACAGCCACGCGGUACUCGUUCAUCCUGAGGAUGGGCAGUAAAAAUCCGCUGGACAUGGGGACAAUCCGCAGGGAAGGCUUCCAUGAAUGACACAGAGUGGAAUGAAAAUUUGGAAGAACCCUCAGAGACUUUACGUUCGGUCCCGUCUGGUAUGAAACUUGAGGCGCAGUGGGUAGUGGGCUUUGUGGAUGGCGAGGGAUGCUUCUAUGUGGGCAUCAAUCCGCAUCCGGAGACGAGCACGGGCUAUCAGGUGCUGCCGGAAUUCACGGUGGUUCAACACGAACGUGAUGUGCAGAUCCUGUAUGCUCUCAAGCAGUUCUUUGGGUGUGGGGUGGUGCGGCGUAAUCACGGUGAUCGAAUGGCGUACCGCGUACGCAAGAUUGAACACCUGCGUGAACGGAUCAUUCCGUUCUUCGAGAAGCAUCCGCUUAAAACCAAAAAGCACCUGGAUUUUCUCAAAUUCCGUCGUGUCUUGCUCCUGAUGGAGCGCAAUGAACAUCUCACGGCGGAGGGCAUUGAAAAAAUCCGCGCCAUUGCUGCCACGAUGAAUACCGGGCGGGAAAGAUAAAGUCCGGCUCCUCUGGAAACAGAGCG